CGCGGGAUGAUCUCUGACAAAAAUCAACUCACCCAGUAAAAGCUGCUCCUUAUUGCAUCAUAGAACACUUGUGAUGUUAUCAUUCUAUCGCCAAGGAGGGUGUCUGAAAAGAAAAUUCGCCCAAUUCGAAUCUGCUGAUUGAAUUACAGAACACUUGACAAAUCGCGGGAUGAUCUCUUUAAAAAUCAACUCACCCAGUAAAAGCUGCUCCUUAUUGCAUCAUA